rnacentral:rRNA from 1 species
GCCCUUCGGGGUGGAUUAGUGGCGAACGGGUGAGUAACACGUGGGCAAUCUGCCCUUCACUCUGGGACAAGCCCUGGAAACGGGGUCUAAUACCGGAUAACACUCCUCCCUGCAUGGGGAGGGGUUAAAAGCUCCGGCGGUGAAGGAUGAGCCCGCGGCCUAUCAGCUUGUUGGUGGGGUAAUGGCCUACCAAGGCGACGACGGGUAGCCGGCCUGAGAGGGCGACCGGCCACACUGGGACUGAGACACGGCCCAGACUCCUACGGGAGGCAGCAGUGGGGAAUAUUGCACAAUGGGCGAAAGCCUGAUGCAGCGACGCCGCGUGAGGGAUGACGGCCUU